rnacentral:rRNA from 1 species
GUGAGGAAUAUUGCGCAAUGGAGGCAACUCUGACGCAGCCAUGCCGCGUGCAGGAAGAAGACGCUACGCGUUGUAAACUGCUUUUAACCGGGAAGAAACCCCAGGACGUGUCCUGGGUUGACGGUACCGGAGGAAUAAGCACCGGCUAACUUCGUGCCAGCAGCCGCGGUAAUACGAAGGGUGCAAGCGUUAUCCGGAUUCAUUGGGUUUAAAGGGUGCGUAGGCGGAGCGUUAAGUCAGUGGUGAAAUCCUGCAGCUUAACUGUAGACUUGCCAUUGAUACUGGCGCUCUUGAGUGCGCUUGAAGUGGGCGGAAUGUGCCGUGUAGCGGUGAAAUGCUUAGAUAUGGCACAGAACACCAAUUGCGAAGGCAGCUCACUAAGGCGAUACUGACGCUGAGGCACGAAAGCGUGGGGAUCGAACAGGAUUAGAAACCCCAGUAGUCC